UGAUCAGCGAUGCCGCGUGUGUGAGAGGCCUUCGGGUUGUAAAGCCCUUUAGGUUGGGAAGAAGUGUAUGUGAUGAUAAGUCUUGUACAUUGACGGUACUAACAGAAUAAGCACCGGCAAACUCUGUGCCAGCAGCCGCGGUAAUACAGAGGGUGCGAGCGUUAAUCGGAGUUACUGGGCGUAAAGGGCGCGUAGGCGGUGAUAUGAGUGUGAUGUGAAAGCCCCGGGCUUAACCUGGGAAGUGCAUCGCAAACGAUAUGACUGGAGUAGAUGAGAGGGUGGCGGAAUUUCCGGUGUAGCGGUGAAAUGCGUAGAGAUCGGAAGGAACGUCAAUGGCGAAGGCAGCCACCUGGCAUCAUACUGACGCUGAGGCGCGAAAGCGUGGGGAGCGAACAGGAUUAGAUACCCUGGUAGUCCACGCUGUAAACGAUGAGGACUAGAUGUUGUUAGGGGAACCUAGCAGUAUCGAAGCUAACGUGAUAAGUCUUCCGCCUGGGAAGUACGGCCGCAAGGUUGAAACUCAAAUGAAUUGAC
rnacentral:rRNA from 1 species